AGGACGAACGCUGGCGGCGUGCUUAACACAUGCAAGUCGAGCGGAAAGGCCCUUCGGGGGUACUCGAGCGGCGAACGGGUGAGUAACACGUGAGCAACCUGCCCCUAGCUCUGGGGAUAGCUCCGGGAAACCGGGAUUAAUACCAGAUACGACCACUUUAGACAUCUUUUGUGGGUGGAAAAGGAUUCCGGCUAGGGAUGGGCUCGGCGGCCUAUCAGCUUGUUGGUGAGGUAACGGCCCACCAAGGCGACGACGGGUA
rnacentral:rRNA from 1 species